rnacentral:lncRNA from 1 species
UGGGCUCAAUGUUUGGAAGCUCAAGUAACGAGGCCCAAUAUAAUAUGGUACCAAGGGCUCUUCCCAUUUUACAUAAAUCAUAGGCUCAAUGUCUGGAAGCCUAAGUAACGAGGCUCAAUAUAAUAUGGUACCAACAUGACUCACUUAGACCGAAAAUAAAUAACUUUCAUUUUGCAUUUUAUUCUUUUCAAUAAAUUGUAAGAGACUUGUUGAAUACUUAAUGAACACUCAUUAUAUGCUUGUUCCCCAUGUUUCAUUAUGUUCCAAUACUUUAUAAUAUAUAUGUCAUUAUAUUUUGUAGUUUAUGUUGAAAUUAUAUAUAUUUUAAGUAUAAACAGACACUUAUUUACACCAAAUAUAAUAAAUUUACUUAAAUCUAACUAGCCGUCUAGCCGUCUAGGCGCUAGAUUCUAGUCGACCGUCUGACUAGUACCUAGCGUCUUUUAGAACUUUAAUUCAGAGUUAAGAAGUGACAUCUGAAAUGGAACGACUCUAAGAAAAUCAUGCCGUUGAGGGGAAACAAUCAUGGAUGCAAUUGGCCCCAGUCUAGCAAUGACAAUUCUUGGAUUAUUUUGAAAACAAAGUUGACCAGAGUAAUAGGAUGGAGUUGCAAAACUAGAUAUGCACCUAGAGUUUUACAAAUAAGAACCGCCAAAUUAGAAUUGAAAUAAAGAGGAAUUUGCCAUCAACAAAAAUUUUUUGAAUAGCUGAAACUGUUGUAAAUAGUGGGUAUGUAUGCCCACAUGCAUAUAGUAAGCCUUUCACUAUGUUGCUUGUGAUUUGCUUAUAUAAAAGCAAGUCUUAUGGAGCACAAAAAAAAAGGGGAGAUGAAUGUGAGAGACUCACGGGAGAGAGAGGAAGGAAAAGAAAGAAAGAAAAGAGAGGAAGGAAGAGGAAGAGAGAAAAGAGAAGAAGAGGAGAGGAGAUAAUAGAGAGAGUUAUCUUUGUACUCUUAUUAUUUCAGAUUAUAAUGAAAGCACCACUGCUGCCCCGAUGACGUACUCCAGUCACAUUGAUUGUAGAGGAACCUCGUAAAUUUUGUGUCUUGUUUAUUUAUUCCAUUGCACACACCGUCCAUUUUAUAACAUGUUAUCAGCACGAAAAGCUCUCGUAUCAAUGGAAAGCACAACGCCACAAAUCUGUUGGAAAUGUGCCCUAAAACCAAUCAUAUGAUGAUACUUUACGGACAUUUCACAUGUUAAACUAAUCUAGUUUAAUAUCAAGGGCAAAGAUUAUUGUUUGAGCCGUCUCAUAUAAAUGUUAUACGCUUAAACGAUAAGUCCAAGGAAUAUGUGAUUUGGAGAAUGCGAUCUAAAGAAGUUAGAUUCAUGAGACCAUUCUUUCGUAGACACAUCCUAAACGUUCCUGAUCAUAGGAUUGCCAAUUGGACAUUGACAGUCCGUUAAGAUCAGUACGUGCUGUGUCUUCUCUCAGGGAGAGUGACUAGUCUCGAGUUAUUGGUGUGUGUGACAUCAAGACAAGCAUGUAGGUGCUCAAUAAUGAAUGAGUCCACUGAACACGAUCAACGAGGAGUUCUCAUACUCAUGUCACAUGAGAACUCAUGGUUGAGAUAAUGCAAAGUAGUCAUUUGACCUGAGGCAUCAUAGUUGUCUUGUGAUUAAGUCCUUGAUCUUUGAUUAUGUCAAAGUCACUCCACCAGGAGGGUGUCCACGGCAUCGUCGGGGUUAAGCCAUUUAGCCAUGGAGGCAAGUGAAUGCACAACAAGGGAUCUCUAACCUUUAAACCGUUUAAGGGAGAAUACUCUAUGAUAUGAUUAAGAAUCUCUGGCCAGAGUAUGAAUGAGAUUUAGGAAGUCGUUCCAAAUCACAUUCAAGGUAAUCAUAAGCACACGAAUCACAUUGGAUAGUAGACAUGAAUAAACUAUCAAACCAAACAAUAUGGUCAAGAGUAUUGUAUUAGAGAAAGACCGUAUUGCAUUUGUAAUCCUAAACUGAAUAGGUUCUCCACCUCUUCUGAUUAGCUUGGGUAACCAUGAUAUGUUGCUAGGUGUCACUCAUGGUUUGUGGAAGCCCUAAACGUGUAUAAUCACUAAAGGGAGAAUUGAAAAUAAGUUUCAAUUCACAAUCGAUUUGAAAUGGUUUUAAUCGCCCACUGCCUUGCUAAAAGGAACCUAAUGGAUCGUACACCGUGUAAGGUGGAGAUUGAAGAAACAAUGGAGAUGAGUAAGAAUAAUUAAAUGGUUUAAUUAUUUAUGGCAAGGAUUAAGUAAUAUGUUAAUUAAUCAAAUGAAUAAGUUCGUUAAAGACCUCGGGAUAGUUUUGGGCCUCAAGGCCCAAUGGACUUCGAACGUCAAGCCCAUUGACUUAAGUUGUAUGACAACUUAAUGACAAAUAAUUCACAAAGGCCUUAAA